UGAGACUGUAUAGAACAUUAAAGAAGAAAACUUUUCUUUUUUCAAUUUGUUGAAAUCAUUAAUAGUAUAUUCGGACAUAGCUUUUUUUAGUGCUCUUGCCUAUGCCCGUGUGAUAUUCAUGUCCAAGUAUAUGUGGAUUUACAAUUUAGAAACUUAUGUAAUGGAGGGCAAAUUGUAAUGGUCACUGCUAACUUUUUAUGGUUAACAUUUUUAUGCAGAGUAUGUAUUUAUGUUUAUAUUUAUUUUGAAAACAUCUGUUUUUGUGUGCUUAUACGUGUGGAUGAUUGUAUGAAGUUAUUUACAGUUGAGGAACCAGAACUUGGUCUAAUUCCUUUUUUUUCCCUUAUUACUUAUUGUUUCUUUGAGACAAUACAUUUCACUCUAUUCUUAGUAGGUCUCUUCAUUGUGUCUCUGCUGAUUUCUUUUUGUUUUAAGAUCCCUGCUGAGUAUUGAGUUCAUGAUCUGCACUCCCUUUUUGCACUGAAAGAUGAAAAUACCCUUUUCUUUUGGAAUGCUCUUUUUCUUUUCUUUUUUUUCUUUUUUUUUUUUUUCACUUGGAUGAUUUGGGAGGAUUUGAAUCACUCUCGGCACGACCGCUGUUGUACAAAAAUAUGACUUUUUAAUUAACUCGCUCAAGACAUUUUAAACACUUAGUAGUGUGGCCACCGAUCUCAAGAUUCUUAGAAAUAAGGCAUACAUCAUACUUGUUUGUUGUUAUUGACGGUAGUGGUAGAGUGACAAAGGUCUUAGCCUGCUACACUUCCUCCUAUAUUAGAUAACAACUUGUAUCAUCAUAUUUUUAACUCAAUUGGAAAUUGAAGUCAUCAAAUAAAACAGAGAAAAAAAAUGAAUUGGGUUUUUGAUCUCUUUUCAUAUUUGAAUGCUUUCAUUCGUCCUGAAUCAUGUCAAUUUAACUUAGUUGGAGGAAGUAGACUUUAGGUCAAUUUUAGUCUUGAGUUUAACAAUCGGGAUGUAUUUUUGUUCUUGACGUGAAAUAUUUUUUGCAGUUGUUUUGAGUUCAAAAUGGCAGCGAAGUACAUUCUUUCUUCAAUUGUGGGAACAGCUGCAAUUGCAUAUGUAUGCGACAAUUUAAUUGCUGACCAGAAGAUUUUUGGAGGCAAGUUCUUGCUAGCUUCUUUAAAACUCUGCUAUGUUUUAUGGUAUAAACUUACUCGGAUUUCAUUUCAGGCACUACUCCAAAGACUAUCUCAAGUACAGAAUGGUGGGUAGAGACUGACAAGAAGUUUCAGGCAUGGCCUCGUACUGCUGGUCCCCCUGUGGUCAUGAACCCUAUCAGCCGCCAAAAUUUCAUUGUCAAAUCCAGCCUUGAUCAAUGAAGUACUUCCUACUUGUCUUGACCCCUUUUCUGGUUUUCCGAUUAAGCAAAAACUUAAUUUCUAUAGUCAUUGAAAGCAUAGAAGUGAAGAGUGAAUCUCUUGUUGAAUUCUGUUUUGUUUACUUACGCUGAAUGUGAAUUCGUAAUAAGUGUUAUGCUUGCAUACUUGGGGAAUUAUUUCUCAUCUUUUGCAUAUUUGCUCUCUUCUUGGCCUUUCUUCCUCUGGCAAAUUUUAUUUUAUUUUAUUAUUAUUAAUUUUUUUUUUUCGAUGAGAUGCAAAAAAGUCGGAUCUCUAUUUGUCAGGGACUUUAUUAACAAGAGAGCAAGAAAUUCAACGCCCUAUUGAC
rnacentral:lncRNA from 1 species